rnacentral:lncRNA from 1 species
GAGUCCUCAGCAUAGACAUAGCAGAAGAAACUAGAGGAGUUGAUAUGCAUUGUGAUAUUGUCAUGAGCACUUAGCACAGUGCAUGGCAAGCUGUAGGAUCUAAAUACGUGUUGUAUGAACAAAUUGAUUUUGACAAGUGCUCUCACCUCCUGAUCUCUAGAAGGAAUCCUGAAGCAUGUGCCAGAGACGCAGUUCCUAAAGUCUUUUUUUCUCUAUGGUUAGAGUGACUGGCCAACAUCCCCACAAAUCUAUUAAAGCAGGUUUUUGUGAACAUAUACUUUGAAUUUACAGCUUUCUCACUCUUUCCCUGAGACCACUUUCUGUAUUACAUAUGUUUAGUAUGUAACUACAGCUCUUUAAAAACAUCAGAAUGGUUUUCCCAAACAGUUCCUGAUCUGUAAGCUAUUUAUGUGGAUAAUUGUGAAUUGUUGUGAGAUGGUAUUGACGAAUAAAACAUGGCUUCCAUUGAAGUGUAAUACUGUGGUGCUAUUUGCUGGGAGGGCCAUAUAUUGCCUGGCAGAACUACAUAGAUUGAAAUGUAUGUAGAAUAGAGUCUUGGGCCAGGCCUAUGGUAGUAGUUCUUAAUAUUUUGGGUAUUACAAACUCUUUUGAAAAUCUAAUGAGAGCUAUGAAUCUUUACCUUUAAAAUAUUCGCAUGCACACAGCUUUACAAAUACUUGCUUAGAAUUUUGAGACCACAUGAAGCUAUUUAUGUAACCUGAGGAGUCCCUAGGAUCUGACAAGACUUGAGCCCCUCUAGGUUUUACCUCCAUAUUCUGGAGAAGGUCUGUGAGACUUUCACAAACACAAGAAAUUUUACAGUCUUGGGCUAAGUUCUAGUCACUCAUCUAUUUUAUUCAUUUAUUUAUCUAUUCACUUAGUCAUUUAUUUUUUCUGCAAGUUGAUGAAUGACACUGCUGUGAAAAGUGCUGUAGUAAAGCAUAGCAUGUUCAGGAAGAGCCAUUCAUUCAAUAGUAAGCAUUUACUAGAGUCAUACCCUCAAAUGUCAUAGUUUUGGAAGAGAACUAAAUGAAUACCAGCCUUCCUCAGGAAAUGACACAGAAAGGAAGAAAACCUGAUAAACAGCAAUAAGCUAUCAGAUGAGGCCCUAGGUAACCUACCUACAUUUUCUCUUUUGAUUCUACAACAACUUUGGAAGCUCAACAUUAUUUUCACCAUUUAUCAAUGAGUAAAUUUAGUUUAACGGAGUUUUAAUAACCUGCUUAAGGUCGUAAGUAGCAGAGCCAGGGUAUUAAUCCAAUCAACUGCAUUUCCAAAUCCUCGGAUACUCUGCUGUCUUCCUAGGGUAGCAUACAAGCAGAUUUGCUAACAUGGCAGAGUCAAGUCAGAACUCCUUGCCUGGUGGUAUGUAAUGCAUCCAUUUCAUUGAAAAAUACUAUGCAUAUCACCUACCUUCUGAAACAUGGAAAAAAAAAUAAAACAUAUUAUGCAGAGACAGCCUGCCCAGGGAAAAAUAUAUUUGGCUCACCAAUCAGAGGACUUUGAAUUAAGUUUUUUCAUUGGCUAUUUGCAUUUAUGUGACUUUGAUUAGUAACUGACCCUCCAACGGCUUUAGUAUCUGAAUCUACAACUGGAAUUAAACCAGAUGAUCUUCCAGGUCUUUUGAGCUUUAGGCUUUUGUGAUAGCUGCACUCAGAUUAUCCAACUAUUAAUAAAGUUCAAUAAUUUAAAGAUUGAUUAGUAGAUUAUAUCUGUACACAUAUUUUUCAUCAACCUAAUUAAAAAGAGAACUAUUUAUAUUAGUGGACCUUCUCAUAUCAAAAACACUAGAGACAAAUAAAAGGCAGAGAGACUACUCACAUG